CCUUGGACCAGGCACUAAGAAAUUUUGCUGUUAGAGGUUGCUGCAACCCGACUGCUAGCAUCCUAUAUGUGGACUUCAGUUUUGCAGUUUUCAUGGAACUCGAGUAAGUACCAUCUAAGCUUGGAGACUGACCCGGGGGCAGAAGAGCCCAUGUCUGAGCUGUGGGAAGUGCCGCUCCAGAUGGGCUUGUUCUGGAAGCCAGAAGUCCAAAAUCAAGGGUGCAGCAGAGCAAAGCUUCCUCUGAAGGCUCUAGGGCAGGAUCUUUGAAAUCUCAUGGCAUUCCAGUGCUGCUUGACACAAGGGGAAGUGUGAAAGAAGAGAUGCCAGAGUGGAAAGAGACAGAGGCCUUAAAUGAAAGUGGUUA
rnacentral:lncRNA from 1 species